rnacentral:lncRNA from 1 species
UUAGUUGUUCCUUAUGAGCAAGAUUGUUCUAAAAGCAAUCCCUCAAGUCUAAACGAAUCAAUAACUUGGAAGACUUAUUAAGAAGCCCAUUGCACCAUCAUAAUUAACUGUUUAAACAACAACAACUACUACCCAGUAUAGUCCCACAAAGUAUAGUCAAACAAUAUUAAGCUUCCCUGAAGAUUCAGUUGUGUCUAAUAACACAAUGCUGUAAGAACAGGAAAAAGAGCAUCGGAGAAAUAUUACACGUGAAGAUCAACUAUAAGAAAUCUUCCAAAGAAUAGAGAACAAACAGCAUAGUGUCAUAGCCAUGCAAUUAUACAUAAGUCAAACAAAAAACAUACUAAAGUUCCAAGGGAUGGAAGUCUGCUAUAAUGUAGCAUAGUGUCAUUGACUGCAUCAAUAACGUGCUCGUAAGCCUUCUACAAAUGUUUAUAAAUUCAUCUUUCCACUACUAGACACAUGACCCGAAAUAGAACAGGUAAUUAAUAGAAAGAGCACACAAGUAAAAAGCCAGCAAUACAUCGAUACAAUUGCUUAAGUCUGCGUAAUAACAACUUAGAGGAAAAUCAUAAGGACAAAGAUAGAAACCGUACCUCUUCAAUAAAAUAACGUACUUGGUCCCUCCAUAAGUCAACAGAAUAGACAAGUUCUUUUGCCCAAGGUUCUGCUUCAUCUCCAAAACCCCAGACGACAUUGUUUCCAUCACGGUCAGAUUCAUCUAAUUGUUUAGACUGCGAAGUUGGAUCCUCACAUGGUAAUGACUUCCCUUGUCCAAGAAAAUCUAACGCCCAUAUUCUGUGAUCAAGACCAAGAUCCUUUAAUUGCUUUUCAUAGUGAAAGGAACCAACACCAAAACCAGUUCAGAUUCAUCUAAUCGUUUGGACUGCGAAGUUGGAUCCUCACACGGUAAUGACUUCCCUUGUCCAAGAAAAUCUAAUGCCCAUACUCUGUGAUCACGACCAAGAUCUUUUAAUUGCUUUUCAUAGUGGAAGGAACCAACACCAAAACCAGGAAGAAAAAGUAUUGGUGCGGAGUUAACAUUUUGACAACCAGAUUUCUCAUAAUGAACUUUCAGUUUGGGUUUCCAUU